GCGCCCAUAGCUCAACUGGAUAGAGCGUCUGACUACGGAUCAGGAGGUUGGGGGUUCAAAUCCUCCUGGGCGCACCA
rnacentral:tRNA from 2 species